rnacentral:rRNA from 1 species
GACGAACGCUGGCGGCGUGCUUAACACAUGCAAGUCGAACGGAAAGGCCCUGCUUUUGUGGGGUGCUCGAGUGGCGAACGGGUGAGUAACACGUGAGUAACCUGCCCUUGACUUUGGGAUAACUUCAGGAAACUGGGGCUAAUACCGGAUAGGAGCUCCUGCUGCAUGGUGGGGGUUGGAAAGUUUCGGCGGUUGGGGAUGGACUCGCGGCUUAUCAGCUUGUUGGUGGGGUAGUGGCUUACCAAGGCUUUGACAGGUAGCCGGCCUGAGAGGGUGACCGGCCACAUUGGGACUGAGAUACGGCCCAGACUCCUACGGGAGGCAGAAGUGGGGAAUAUUGCACAAUGGGCGGAAGCAUGAUGCAGCAACGCCGCGUGCGGGAUGACGGCCAUCGGGUUGUAAACCGCUUUCGCCUGUGACGAAGCGUGAGUGACGGUAAUGGGUAAAGAAGCACCGGCUAACUACGUG